AAUCUUGCGCAAUGGGCGAAAGCCUGACGCAGCCAUGCCGCGUGAAUGAUGAAGGUCUNAGGAUUNUNAAAUUCUUUCACCUGGGNCGAUAAUGACGGUACUCGGAGAAGAAGCCCCGGCUAACUUCGUGCCAGCAGCCGCGGUAAUACAAAGGGGGCUAGCGUGUCUCGGAAUUACUGGGCGUAAAGGGCGGGUAGGCGGACAUUUAAGUCAGGGGUGAAAUCCCAGAGCUCAACUCUGGAACUGCCUUUGAUACUGGGUGUCUUGAGUGUGAGAGAGGUAUGUGGAACUCCGAGUGUAGAGGUGAAAUUCGUAGAUAUUCGGAAGAACACCAGUGGCGAAGGCGACAUACUGGCUCAUUACUGACGCUGAGGCGCGAAAGCGUGGGGAGCAAACAG
rnacentral:rRNA from 1 species